AGGUUACAGGCAGCUAGUUGGGCUAAAGGCCUGGUUUUAAAGAGUUGGAGAUCAUAAAGGUGAAUUUUCAAUCAGGUGUGAGAGAAGUUUUGUUGUUCAGAAAUUACCCUGGCCUGUCAAACACACAAAAAGAACAACAGGCUCUGUGGGCUGCACACAGGCUUUUAGGCACCUUGAGACAGCUACCUGGCCUUUGGUGAUACUGCAGGGCUUGCUCUUGUAGUCUGAGCCAACUCAUGGUAUGCUGCAUAAAAAUGCAUCCUGUAUUAGCCAUGUAAACAACCAAGUUUUAGAAGUAUGCAGCAUGAAAGUGCCCUUCCUACAGAAUAACUCCUAUAAAGAACAACCUUUGGGGUCUGCAGAUUUCUCCUGGGUGAACAUCCUAUUUUCCUCUUUAACAGCUUGUACUUCUGUUUCAUCCAUAGUAUGUUGAUGACUUUCAUUUAAAGCUAGUUCAUGAACUUUAGGCAUCACAAAUAUCCCUCACUUCAGCUGCAAUCAUGAGAUAAGGACAAAAAAAAGCAUUUCAAAAAUCGGCUUCACUUGUACACACUGACAACAACCUAUCUGUGCAAGAAUAAAUUCCUUGAUCCAAGGACGUGCAUUAAAAGUCAGUUCUCAAAGGGGACAUAGGAGUGGAUUUAGCAUGGAAGGAUAUAUGUUCUUUAAGGGCAAUAGGUCAAACCUGAAGAUUAAAAAUAGACUUGUCAAAAUUGAGUCUGACAGAAAUCACUGUAUCUCUAUGUUCCAAUGGACAUAAUAUUCUUCAUUAUGUAGUCACAAAGUAUUUUUUUUAGUCUAAUUAGACUGCAAAUGUGAUUUUAAAAAAUAAAAUGGAAUUAUUAUUUCAAAAUUACAUUUACUGCUAAUGCCAGAGUGCCAAAUCAUGAGUAUUGUCUGGCAGAUUCUUUACAUCUACAAGUCAGUAGUUUUUUGCAUAUAUGUAAGCGAGGAGAAUAGUUAUGAGUUCUCAGGCAUAAUUUUAGCCUUUAAGUCAGCAAAAAGAGGAUGAGAGCAAGAGCAAGAUCUAAACAGGGAGGUUACAGGACACUGAUGAUGCAUUUUUAUCACCUGCAACCCUAACUAGACACCAAAUAGCCCACAUGCAUGUUACUAAUUCCUUGUCACACAUGGCAAGAGAAUAAUAAAAAUAAUGAAAAAAUGGUUCAAAUUUACUAAUCUGUUAUUCUACAAAAAAUAACCCAACUACUAGAAAUCUUUUAAACCUUGCAAAUCCUUUCUUAAUUUUUUCUUUUGUUGUCUUUUUUUAUUUUCAAUAUAUUUUCAUUCCCUAAUUCUGUCCUAUCCUAACUAAAAGAUAAUCUCAGGGCAAAAGCUCUUUAUCUAAAGGAUCAACAGCCACAAAAGCAUAUAAGGAAGAGGCAGGGGAGAGAAGCAUGUUUAUAGAAUCACACUCUUAAAGCUAUUCAUUAAAACAAAAAGUAGAGGAGGCAGAUCAGAGAGGUUUGAGAGGGUUUAUUUUGUUUAUUUUCCUCCCUCUGCUCUCUACCCAGCUGCAGCUUCCAAAGAAUUGUUCAAAGGUUAUACCUUCCCCAUGGCUCUUCUAAAGAUCUGAACUCCAAAAGGAAAGUUUCAGGAAGGUCACCUGUGAAGGAGAUCUGCUCUUCAAAAUCUGUAAAUUCACCAUUUGGAGGACAUACUACUCACAUUUUUAGAGGCUGAGGAAUGAACAGAUCAAGGGCAGCCCUUCUGAGAAGGACCUGGGGGCUACAGAUGAGAGGCUGGAUUUAACCUGGACUUGUAGCCCAGAAAGCCAAACAUGGCCUGGGCUGCGUCAAAAGCAGCGUGGCCAGCAGGGUGAGGGAUGAGAUUCUGCUCCUCUGUUCUCAUGAACAGCUGCAUCCAGCUCUGGGAACCCAAGCACUAUAAGGACAUGGACCUGUUAGAGCAAGUCCAGAGGAGGCCACCAAGAUGAUCAGAGAUGGAGCACCUCUCCUGUGGCGAAAGGCUUAAAGAAUUGGAAUUGUUCAGCCUGGAGAGAAGGCUUUGGGAUGACCUGAUUGUGGCCUUCAAGACUUGUGGGAAGCCUACAAGAAAGAUGGAGAGAGGCAUGUAGUGACAGGACAAGGGGCAAUGGCUGAGAGUAGCUUUAGGCCAGAUAUUAGGAAGAAAUUCUUUACUCUGAGGGUGCUGAGGCACUGGAAUAGAUUGUGCAGGAAAGCUGUAGAUCUCCCAUCCCUGGAAGUGUUCAAGGCCAGGUUGGAUGGAGCUCUGAGCAACCUCUGUCUAGUGGAAAGAUGUACCUGUCCAUGGCAGGGAGUUGGAACUGGAUUAUCUUUGAGGUCCCUUCCAAGCCAGGCCAUUCUACAAUUCUAUGAUUUAUUUACAACUGCCAUUUGUUGUCAUUUCUACUGUCAUAAAACCUUAUUCUCUAAAAACUCCUCCAAUGUCUCUCCCUCUAUGCUUUUGUUUGGCAACAUAUAGCAUUACCUUAAGAAUGGGUCUGGUCUACUUGAAAUAUCAAAUUUUCAUGUUGUGUUUUCUGAAAAAAAAAUGAACGGUGCCUUACUAAGCACAGAGUUCAGAGAAGGGAGGGUGAUGGGAAAGGGACCUGCAGAGGCUGGCAUCACUGGGAAUGGCAUAUCCCUUGAACUACCCUAGAUCAAAUAGGGAAACAUUUUAUUAAAUCCUGUUAUUCUACCAUUUGUCAGCUGUAUCAUAAAAUUAGGAGGCUACAAAUAGAAUCACUACAAGCAAUUCAUGGGAUAAUAAUUAAACAGUCUGAUUCAAACCCCACUGAAAUCCACCAAAAGACUUCCAUCAUCUUCAGAAGGCUUUGGAUCAGCCAUGUUCCUGGAGGAUGAACAUUGCUCCAUUGUUCCAUCCCAGGAAAAUUACACACAAAAGCACAACAGGCAGCAAAGCAAGGCCUUUUCUGCCACUUUUUAAACACCUUUGUCAAAUUUUCCAUUAACAAAGCCUUAAGGAAGUAGGGACUUCUUGUCAGAAAGCAAACUAUAAGCAUUUCUAGAAGUAGGCAGUAUGUAUUUUAGCAUAUAUAUUUAUGGACACAUCAAUAUACAAAAUAUUCAUCAUGUUUAGAGCUGUCCUUAAACAAAAAGCCCAGGCAUUACUCUCUAUGCCUGCAAAAACAAAUCCACCAUGCAUCUUUAGUAAACAAAAAAUAGUUAAUUUACAAAGCUGUAGCAUUGCUUUAUUUGCACUUGACUGUUUAACACCCAGGAGUUUCAAUAGAUCUGGCACUGGCUGGAUAGAUUGAAACAACACUAUUACUUUCUCUGUAUUAUUCUUAAUAAUUAUAAAAUGAUGUGUUUUAUUGCUCCAUUUACAAGAGUAUUGCUAAACAAUUAUCUUAACAAAUGUAUUUUUGAUGGAAGAGCCACUGAUGUUUGUCUUUAUAAAUUAAGCUAGUUAUAAAAGUCCAUGUUUAUAAUAGUAUUACCUUCUUUGAAAUAACAAAAUAGUCCAUUGGUGGUUCACUAUGAGCACCUACUGGGAAAUUCAUGGUAACCUGCCUCAUGUGUUAGAAAUCUAAAUGAACAGCCUUGAUAAGAGCAUUUUUUUCUCCUCAUUGUUAAUGACAUACAUAACAAAAGUACUAUAAUUAUUCUAAAGCAGCAGCUAAAAAAAAAUUCUCAUAGAGAUGUUGGUAAUCCAUCAUGAGGAGAGUACUGUGAAGACAGACAAUUAAAAAUCCAAAUAUUCUUUUCUUGAAACAAUUUAACUGUUCAAAAGCAUCUAUAAAAUACUUACACAAGCAAAUAUUAGAAUAUUUUGCUCAAGUUUAGUAUUUAGUCAAUAGACUAAUUUCUGUGGAAUAUAUUGAAGAGUAGAAUAUGAAAAUAUUUAUAAAAUAUACAGUACAUAGCUAUGCAAAGAAGUUACUGCACACUGCCCUUUGAUAAAACAUCAUCUUUCUAAUGAAGCAAUUAGUAAAAAAAACUGUUGCUUAAAUAAAAAAUAAGUUUUACAUCAGUAAAUCCUAUCAGAUUAAGGCAAUCAUGCCAUAUUUUUGACUACAGUACAACCAAAUGAAAUUAUUACUUCUUCCUACUGUUUCUGACAUUCAGAGCUAUACUUGUCAAAACAGAAUUUCAGUUCAGAAAAAAAGAAAUAGUACUGAAAUACACUGUAAAUUGUGUAUGUUCAGCAUUGGGUAACAGAAAAGUAACUCCGUGUCAUUCUGUAUUUGACUUCCACUGAAAAAAACAGGUCAUGAGCUCCAGUGAAAUAAUAUACACCUCAAAAAAAACCAAGAACCAAACAAAAACACCAAUCAAAUAAAAGAAAGAAAGUGAAAAAUAAUUUUGAAAAAAAAUCAUGUCCUGUGUAGCACCAGUAUCUGGUGAGGCUGCAAGACAGGAGACAUCCUGAGACUUAUGGGCAAGCCUUUGAAAAACUCUGUGCAGCACUAAGUGCAGGUAGACAGAACACAAGCAUGGGUGACAGUGAACAAGAGCAUAAGAACAGAAAUUUACUACUGUGAGAGAGAGCUACUCAUUUUUCCUCCUUCCUGGAAAACUCACAUCUUCCCAAAAAGGACUGAUAGUCCCAAAGGAGUAAGUGCAGUUUACUCAACUCCUCAAAGCCCAGAUUCAGGUAUCAGACAGAGCAGUCUUACUACUCACAGAUCCAGGACCAACACACAACUUAUAUCUGACUUGGUCCAAGCACAAACUUCCUGGCUAAGUGUUGCUGGUAGAUGUUUUGUAAAGGCCUUAUGCUAGAGUUAUAGCACAUCUUUCCAAACAGAUAAAAGUUUAUAAUUUAAAGAUUUGAAAUUAUGAGGAAUGACCACAGUUCUCUCUAUCUCUUACUGCUCAUAAUGUGAUUUCUUAGGACUAGACUGGACUUCUUUUAGCAAGCUGAAAAGAUAUCUGCUAUUUCAAUUUGUCCUUGGUCAGGUAAAUCUGUCUUGAUCUGUCCUGCAGCAAGCUAACAAGGCUGAGUUUCUUAUGAAUCUCAUAAAAGGGGAAACUUGUGGUUAAUUUUUGCUGCUCUUCCCAAACUACAUCCAAUUACCAGCACACUUUCAGGAACAGACAGCACUGCAGACCUUCUAUGAUUAUAUAUAAAAUUUAUAUUGCCUCCCUACUCCCACUUGAUAUUCUUAUUCUUUUUAUAUCCAUUUCAUAUUCAUUCUAUUAGCUACAGUGUACUGCUCUGAAAGGUCAGAUUCAAUGAAUUAUUUAAUGCCAUGGCAAGCUGAGGCAUGAACUGCUGUAUCUUAACAGUCUCUGAUAGUUUCACCCUAGGCUGAGCUUCCUUAUGUUAGCCAAGGGGAUCUAGAGAGGAAUGGUCUCGAUACCAGCUUUAAUCUACUUGCUCUGAGCAACAGGCACUCUGCACUUCACCUUGGCCAGCCUUCUUCUGAAACAGUUUUUACUACCAGAGGCCAUAUUCAACACACUACACUGGGAAACAGCACCUCCCUUGUAAUGCCAGCACACAACUUUCAGAGCUCCUUUCCCUAAAUUUCUGAACUUCUGGAAUUUCACCAGCUAUUGCCACAUGACGGUGGUUCCAUCAGCUAGAGGUGUGAAGACGCAGGUUCAGAGAGAGUCACAAAAAUUGUCAGAGUGCUGGAGAACCUCUGCUAAUAAGACAGAAUGAGAGAAUUGGGAUUCUUCAGCCUGGAAAAGAGAAGGCUCCAGGAACACCCUACAGCACCUUCCAGUAAAUUACAGAAGGCCUCUUAGAAAGAUGGGGACCAGCUAUUUAGCUGGGCCAAUACUGCAAUAGGACAAGAGUUUUCAACCUAAGACAAGAUAUGUUUAGAAUACAAAGAAGAAAUUUACUGUCAGGGUGGUAAGGCACUAGAACAAGUUACCCAGAGAAACUAUGGAUGCCUCAUCCCUAGCAGUGUUCAAGUUUAGAUUGGAAGGGGCUCUGAGCAACCUGAUCUAGUGGAAGAUGCCCAUUGCAGGGAGGUUGGAACUAGAUGAUCUUUAAGGUCCAUUCCAAUACAACCUGCUCUAUGACGUGCUCAUUUUAUCAUCCUUAAGUACCAGCUUUGCCAUGACCUCCAGCUCUGCCCUCCUGAACUCCUUAGUAUCUCACAGGAAAUUGAGUCCCAGAUGUUGCUGCCUUACUUACAAAAUUCUCAUGAUAACAGCUUCUUCUGUAGGUGAGACAGUCUCCAGGGGGAUCCAUUUAAGUGUACUGUGUAUCUUUGGCAAAAUAUAUCCAGUAUCUCUCCCUAUCUCUCCCCAUAGGUAACCUGUAUAUCCUAUGAACCCAUAAAACCAGUAAUAGUCACAAAAUGAUGUUAUAAAAAUCCCUCUGUCCACAUCUUUCCCCAUUUUAUCAUGUAUUUUUCUUGCAAAAAAAGAAAUGAAACAUGAUUUUUUUUCUACUAUAGAGAAUCACAAUGGCAUGGUAGAAUUUGCACCUUGUAUUUAUAACUUUUCAGUAGAGAUAAGGGUAAUGUUUCAAAGAAAUAUUUUAAAACUGCCUAAGCAACUCAUAACAGCUUGGCUGUACAAACCACGUAAAAUGGUCAUGACAAACCGUGUAAAAUGUUAAGAUAAGAUUUUGGGUAACAUGAGCUGCAGAACCUCAGGAUCUUGUUUCUAAGUAACGCAUAAAUCCCAAAUCCAUUAUAAUAGAGCUUUAUGAAUCAUAUUCCUCUCUCUCCACACAUACAUAGAAACAUGUGCAAAUGCCUGCAUACAAAUGUAGAAUAUAUACUGCAUGCUUAUGGCAUGUUAUUUGUCCAAUAAACAAUCCUAGGUCUUACAUUAGCAAACUGUAUGCUCAAUCUAUAUAUCUGGGAGCAUAAAUUUUGCAAUUUCCUCUUUGUCCAAAAAAACAUUGUUGCUAAAAUAUGUGCUGAAUUUUCUUCCUCUCUCAUAUGUCAGUGUGGUACAGCUCCUUCCUUAAACCCAUGGCAGUUUCAGUGAAUUAUUGAUGAACUCAAGCCAUCUGCUGGACACUGCAACAUGACUGUAAUUGGUGUAGAACACUAAGAAAUUGAUCCAAUACUUUUUAAGGGGAAAAGGAAGCAGUAUCUUUACUAACGCAGUUGUCCUAAUAUUUAAUUAAAGACUUUGAACACAAAUAGAAUGUCAGAUGAAAUGCAGAACAAAAGGGGAUUUCUGGUCACAAAAGUGUAACUUCCAUGUAAAAUUGAGCAGUAAGGAGAAUGACACAAGAUAAAAAAUAAAAAAGAAUACGGAUUACGAACUCAAUUAAUUGUUUUAAUUUUUUGCUGUCUUCCAACAUGGAGAGUUUUUGCUAUUUCUCUUGAUAAACUCAGGCAGAUGGUAUUUUCCUUUUAAGACUCUGGCCCACUUUAAUGACACACAGAAAAUAAUAUUGAGCAGAAAAGAUGAAGUAUGGAAUUAAAAUUUCAGUGUAAUGACUAAACAUCAUUAUUCCUAUGGUGUUUAUGAAAUACAGAUGACCUAAAGGAUC